CAUAACUUUGUCCAAGAGCUCCAGCCAUGCUUCAACCUUUUAUAGGAAAAGCAAAGUUACUACUUUCAGCUUCAAGACAAAACAUCUCUUUUCAGAUUGUCUCUCAAUUGUAGCUGCCAAAUCAGACAUUCCUAUUAAUGUUUGAACUUUGUAUCUAUUUUUAGGAGAGAUUGGUGUAUUAACCAAGACUUGCACAUGUCCCAUGGUUGUUGAAAUGUCUUGACAACACCAACCCG
rnacentral:misc_RNA from 1 species